rnacentral:lncRNA from 1 species
GUUCAGCCACUGCGACGCGAACACCUUGUUGAGGGUGCCCAGGGCCAGCUCGCGCUCCCGCAGCAGCUCGGGCAGCUUCUGCACCGCGUAGCCGCGCAGCUCGCCCUCGAAGCCCAGGAGCCCGGCGCGGCCCCGCGCGCCCACCUCGCGGCCCUUCAGCCAGCUGCCAUGUUGUGAGUUGCCUUGUGGAGAGACCCACUUUGUAAGGAGCUGAUGUCAGCUUGCCAACAGCCACAUGAGAGGGCUCAGAAGAGGAUUCCCCCUCUCCUGCCACCAGACUCUGUACGUAGAUAUAGGAUUUGUAUGGGUGACAGAAAGACUGAAAUCACUAGAAGCUUUCAGCCAUGAAGAAGUUGUGCACUGUAAACACUCAAAUCAAGAUCUUUCAUCCGUGACAGAAUGGCUUGUUACUUUGCACAAAGGACAAUAAACUGGCUCAUAAGCAAAGUGAGUAAUUUUUUUAAACACUCUACUGCAUGUAUAACAAUCCUUGUAGCAUAUCUGUCAAGCACAUCAUUUGUAAAUACAAAAUGAAUUCAAAAGUAAAUCUUAAAGCCCGACAAUCAGGGAGAAAAACUUUGGUGGAAACCAGAUGGAUCCAAGAAAUAGGUAAUCAGGAAGUCUGACAAAUUACUUUUCACAAAUUACCUUCUUGGUGAUGUACAUCCAAAAUGGAAAAUGUUGCUGAAAGAUAGCUGUAUUUAUUUACUGAGAGGGAGAAGAAAUCUGGGGAAUAGAAUUUUUUUCUGUAUUAUUUUUCCAUCUUACUGAUGAGGCCAUAGUAAAAAUAAAUCUGUAAGUCACAGGCAUACGUUUUAUUUUGUGUAGAUCCCGAUAACUCAAAGUUAAUGAUGUAAACAAAAACAUAUAAGAGAAUGGUCCCAUAACAAAAUUUUGAAUGCAGAAAUAACUUUAGUUUUCCAAUAAAAGGAAGUUAAUGUUCUUUUUUGUUUGAUAAGAUGCUGCAAAAGAAUCUUUAGCCAAGUCAGAAACAACAACAACAAAAACAACAACAAUAGUAAUAAUAGAAGCCAAAAGAAAGGUUUUGAAAUGGAAUCAAAGGUCAG